GACCCGUCCAACGUGGCUACGGGAACUUAAGAGUUGGGGGUGGCUGGACAUUUCCCACACCUGGGAUGACCCCCAGGUUGAGAGCUGGCACCCAGACCAUCUAACAGAAUCAGGAUUCAGAUGUUCCUGACAGGCUGAAGUGAGGGGUGUCUUGGACAAAUGCAUUUUAAGAGCUAAGUGCAGGCUCCUGUACUUGGCCGUGAACGCACCAGUCACAGAGAGGCUGUCACCAGUGGGCUGGAAGCCGAGUCUCCAGAGCGAAGGGACCACCGCAGAGCGAAGCCCCAAGCUCACAUGAAGAGGCCCAAAGGGCAAACCAGAGCGAGGAGGGGCCCUGGAAGGGCUGGCCCAAGGCAGCAACGGGCAGGAAAGCUUCCUCCCCAGCUCUGCUCCCCGGGCUCUCCCCACCCCCUAUCCACAACCCCUUUAAAACAGGCAUCAGAUCCCAGCCUUCCUCGCCAGCCCAAACCCUCCUGUGAACUCCAUCCCACUCAGCAGCACAUCUGGUCUCAUCAGUGGCAGGACGGUUCAUCUUUUUGUCUGUUUGGUACUCAAAUGCGGCUGCGCAAGAGCAGAGGCUGACCGCUCCAUGGUGGCUCCACCCCAGUACCUAGGACAGUGCCCGACAUGCAGCGGGGCGCACAAAGACCCAAAAGGACCUACGGACGGACGGACGGACAGAUGAGUGAGUGAAUAAGAGACAAACUUCUGGCUCAGAACGGAGGUAGACAACAGUCUCCAAUGUCACAUGCCCCAGGGGCCAACAGUGAGACACGGGGAAUGAGGCUUCUCCUACAAAUUAUGAACUUGAUCACCAUCAGAGCUGUAGGAAGGCAGUGCACUGAGGGUCAGGGAAAAUGCCUGAGCUUCAGACUAAUCCAGGUGACUUGGUGAAAAACAAAAGCAAUUUGAUGGAGAACAAAUUGGAAGGAAAACAAUUCAGCCUGAAGGACAAUUUGAUCUAAAAAAGGACACUCCACCUGAUUUUUUAGAAAUUGGAAUUUUGAUGUAGGGGGAAGUGGAGGGCAUCCUUUUGUACCAUUUCAAAUAUUUUGCUUAAAUUUCAGAAUAAAUUUGCUCUCUGCUUUAAA